rnacentral:misc_RNA from 1 species
CUGCCCUCAAGCACGGCUUGUGUGUUGGGUGUGGUCCCCCCGGGGACCUGCCCGAAAGGCAGCGGCGACGUCCGUCUGGUCCUCGAGCGUAUGGGGCUCUGUCACUCGCUCGGGAAGGACCUGCGGGAGUUGGUCACCACCACAUUUUACCAC